rnacentral:rRNA from 1 species
AAAGUCGAGCGAGCUUGCCCUAGAUGAAAUUUGGUGCUUGCACCAAAAUGAAAACUAGAUACAAAGCGAGCGGCGGACGGGUGAGUAACACGUGGGGUAAAACCUGCCCAAGAGACUGGGGAUAACACCUGGGAAACAGAUGCUAAUACCCGGAUAACAACACUAGACGCAUGUCUAGAGUUUAAAAGAUGGGUUCUGCUAUCACUCUUGGGAUGGGACCCUGCGGUGCAUUAGCUAGUUGGUAAGGGUAACGGGGCUUUACCAAGGCAAUGAUGCAUAGCCCGAGUUGAGAGACUGAUCGGGCCACAUUGGGGACUGAGACACGGGCCCAAAACUCCUACGGGGAGGGCAGCAGUAGGGAAUCUUCCACAAUGGACGCAAGUCUGAUGGAGCAACGCCGCGUGAGUGAAGAAGGGUUUCGGCUCGUAAAGCUCUGUUGGUAGUGAAGAAAGAUAGAGGUAGUAACUGGCCUUUAUUUGACGGUAAUUACUUAGAAGUCACGGCUAACUACGUGCCAGCAGCCGCGGUAAU